rnacentral:ncRNA from 1 species
AGGCUAAAUAACGUGAGGAGACCGAUAGAUUACAAGUAGUGUGAACGAAAGAUGAAAAGAACUCUAAAACAGAGGGUGAAAAGUUCCUGAACUUGCUUAGGGGUAAAGGCUAUUUAUAGUACCCGUCUUGAAACACGGAUUAGGGAGUUUAUCUGUAGUGCGAGUCUUUGCACGUUAACUGUAAAGGCGUAGAGAAAGCAACUGGCGUUUGCAUGGCUACUGAGCAUUACUGAUAGGACCCGAAAGGUGGUGAACUUUGCCUGCACAGGUUGAAGUCAGGGGAAACUCUGAUGGAGGACCGUACGGGUUAUUGAUGUGCAAAUCAUUUUUCUGAUGUAGGUAAAGGUGCGAAAGACUCAUCGAACCACCUAAUAGCUGGUUUCCUCCGAAGUUUCCCUCAGGAUAGCUGUAAUGCAUUUAGUUAAGGGGAGUAGAGAUAUGGGUAGAGGUGCAGGGAGCCUUCGGGUUCUCAACUUAUUUCCAAACUUCGAACCUCCUUGUUAGGCAUUUACCUAACUGGAAAUGCUUAAAUGAAUUAGCGUUACAAGUGGGCUCUGACCGGUAAGCGGUCAUGGCGAAAUGGGAUGAACCAUACGUCUGAAUAAGGUGCCGAAAUGUACUAUCACUGAUACCAUAAAGGGAGUCCAUGUAUUUAGACAGCAGGUCGGUGCCCCUAAAAGCAGGUAUCCGCUAAAGAGUGUGUUAAAACUCACCUGCCGAAUACUAGGGCCCCGAAAAUGAAUGGCGCAUAUAGUACUACCGAUCUCAGACAUCAGUUCUAUUGAACUGAGAGUAGGGGGAUGUGGACAUUUU